UACGGGGGGGGCAAGCGUUGUUCGGAAUUACUGGGCGUAAAGGGCGCGUAGGCUGCUCGCUAAGUCGGGGGUGAAAACUCUGGGCUCAACCCAGAGCCUGCAUUCGAAACUGACGAGCUAGAGUUCUGGAGGGGAAAGCGGAAUUCCUGGUGUAGCGGUGAAAUGCGUAGAUAUCAGGAGGAACACCGGUGGCGAAGGCGGCUUUCUGGACAGAAACUGACGCUGAGGCGCGAAAGCUAGGGGAGCAAACAGG
rnacentral:rRNA from 1 species